rnacentral:rRNA from 1 species
CCUGAUCCAGCCAUUCCGCGUGAGUGAAGAAGGCCUUCGGGUUGUAAAGCUCUUUCAGCUGGAACGAAACGGUACAGGUUAAUACCCUGUGCUAAUGACGGUACCGGCAGAAGAAGCACCGGCUAACUACGUGCCAGCAGCCGCGGUAAUACGUAGGGUGCGAGCGUUAAUCGGAAUUACUGGGCGUAAAGCGUGCGCAGGCGGAUUGUUAAGCAAGAUGUGAAAUCCCCGGGCUUAACCUGGGAAUGGCAUUUUGAACUGGCAGUCUAGAGUGCGUCAGAGGGGGGUGGAAUUCCACGUGUAGCAGUGAAAUGCGUAGAGAUGUGGAGGAACACCAAUGGCGAAGGCAGCCCCCUGGGAUGACACUGACGCUCAUGUACGAAAGCGUGGGUAGCAAACAGGAUUAGAUACCCUGGUAGUCCACGCCCUAACGAUGUCAACUGGUUGUUGGGGGAGUGAAAUCCCUUAGUAACGAAGCUAACGCGUGAAGUUGACCGCCUGGGGAGUACGGUCGCAAGAUUAAAACUCAAAGGAAUUGACGG